AUUGAACGCUGGCGGCAUGCCUUACACAUGCAAGUCGAACGGCAGCAUGAUCUAGCUUGCUAGAUUGAUGGCGAGUGGCGAACGGGUGAGUAAUACAUCGGAACGUGCCCUGUAGUGGGGGAUAACUAGUCGAAAGAUUAGCUAAUACCGCAUACGACCUGAGGGUGAAAGUGGGGGACCGCAAGGCCUCAUGCUAUAGGAGCGGCCGAUGUCUGAUUAGCUAGUUGGUGAGGUAAAGGCUCACCAAGGCGACGAUCAGUAGCUGGUCUGAGAGGACGAUCAGCCACACUGGGACUGAGACACGGCCCAGACUCCUACGGGAGGCAGCAGUGGGGAAUUUUGGACAAUGGGCGAAAGCCUGAUCCAGCAAUGCCGCGUGUGUGAAGAAGGCCUUCGGGUUGUAAAGCACUUUUGUCCGGAAAGAAAUGGCCCUGGUUAAUACCUGGGGUCGAUGACGGUACCGGAAGAAUAGGGACCGGCUAACUACGUG
rnacentral:rRNA from 1 species